rnacentral:rRNA from 1 species
AUGGGCCGCCGCCGCCGCCCUUACUCGCCGGCUCCAGCGGCCCCGCUGGAAGACGACGACCUCCUGGGGGAGAUCCUCCUCCGCCUCCCUCCGCGGCCGUCCUCCCUCCCGCGCGCCUCCCUCGUCUGCAAGCGUUGGCGCCGCCUCGUCUCCGACCGCGGCUUCCUCGCCCGCUUCCGCGCGCGCCACCGCAGGGAGCCCCCGCUCCUCGGCAUCUUCACCGGCGGGUUCGAAUGGCUCGGCUUCACCCCCUUGCUGGACCCGCCCGACCGCGUCCCCGCCGAGCGCCUCUCCCUGCGGCAGAGCCGCGACGAGCGCUGGAUCUUCUGCGGCUGCCGCCACGGCCUCGCGCUCCUCUUCAACGUCGACCGCCUCCACGCCGUCGUGUGCGACCCCCUCACCGGUCGCCGGCGCCAGGUGCCCUUCCCGCCGGGGUUCGACGACGACCAAGAGAACAUCAUCGGAAGCGCCGGGAUGCUCUGCGCCGCCCGCGGGGAAGGCCACGUGCACGGCGACUGCCACUCGAGCCCCUUCAAGCUGGUCCUAGUCCGCACCAACACGGCCCGCACUCGCGUCUUCGCUCGCCUCUACGACUCCCAGUCCGGUGAAUGGGGAAAUCUGAUCUCAGAACCAAUUACGGUCAUCCUUCCGAUUACCCUGCAGCGCUCCAGCGUCCUGGUUGGGAGUGCAUUGCACUGGUCGAUUGACGCAACCAGCAUCCUCUCAUUUGAUCUUGAAACGCAGCGCCUUGCCCUGAUCCGGGAGCCGGCAGACGCCCGUUCUUGCGGACACAGGAUGGCUGCCUAG